GGACAGAAAAACAAACAAAAGGAAAGCGAAGUAUAAUACCACUUGGUUUCUACUAUUGAGAGGUUCACCACUCCUAGACUGCCAGAGAUAUAACUCAAGAGACUUCUAUUUUGUGGAUGAAAAGGGAGAAAGGCUAUACUUCAAUGAUUCUUUAAUAAAAUAAUAAUUAAAAACA